UCUUGUUUAUCUUCUCUAUUCUCUGCAUUGGAUCCUAUCAUGCAAUCUUCACCAGAACUACUGGAUUAAAACCCAUGCAGAAGUCAGUAGAAAAUGUUCAAGGGAAGAGACUCCUGCACGGAAGCCCAGGCUGCUCCUGUGGAAGCUUGAAAUCAUCCCUCUAGAAAGGAGCUCCUCCCCUGGGUCUCUCUGGUUCAUAUGGACUGAGCCUCCCUCCCCUACCCAUGUGAAGGUUUGUCUUCUGCAGAGGCCAGUGUCUCAGGAGCCAGGAAGCAGUGCCUGGCUGGUGGUCCAUGCAGCAGAUGUGGGGAGUUUUCCUUCUUUACGUUUCACUGAUGGUGGGAGGUGCUGCAAGACAAAGUGUUGAGCAGCCCACCGAGUUGAUGGCUGUGGAAGGAGCCUCUGUCCAGGUCAACUGCACGUUCCAGACGUCUGGGUUCAACGGGCUGUCCUGGUACCAGCAACACGAUGGUGGAGCUCCUGUAUUUGUCUCUUACAAUGUUCUGGAUGGGUUUCAGAAUAGAAGUCGUCUUUCUACUUUCCUUCGUCGCUCUGAUGGGUACAGUUCCCUGUUUCUGAGGGAGCUCCAGAUGAAAGACUCUGCCUCUUACUUCUGUGCU